rnacentral:tRNA from 1 species
UAGCUCAGUGACAGAGCAUAUACUUAGAAUGCAUAUGCCCUGGGUUCAAUCCCCAG